AGGACUCUAGCGAAACUGCCGGUGAUAAGCCGGAGGAAGGUGGGGAUGACGUCAAGUCCUCAUGGCCCUUACACGCUGGGCUACACACGUGCUACAAUGGUAACUACAACGGGACGCAAUACCGCGAGGUGGAGCAAAUCCCAAAAAGUUAUCUCAGUUCGGAUUGCACUCUGCAACUCGAGUGCAUGAAGUUGGAAUUGCUAGUAAUCGCGGAUCAACAUGCCGCGGUGAAUACGUUCCCGGGUCUUGUACACACCGCCCGU
rnacentral:rRNA from 1 species